rfam:Nicotiana attenuata strain TT chromosome 8, whole genome shotgun sequence.
GAAUGAAAGUGAUGAACUAAGGAUUAGUGAUGAUAAUUUUUCAAAUGAUCCAUAAAUAUAUCCUUAUUCGCUACGUUCUUUCUGAUUCAUUC